GGAGCUGAUGCAGCACGCCGCGUGCGGGAUGACGGCCUUCGGGUUGUAAGCCGCUUUCGCCUGUGACGAAGCGUGCGUGACGGUAAUGGGUAAGGAAGCACCGGCUAACUACGUGCCCGCAGCCGCGGUAAUACGUAGGGUGCGAGCGUUGUCC
rnacentral:rRNA from 1 species